UCAAUGCUCGCAAGAGUGAACUAGCUAACUGGAAUCACGAGUGUGUCACUUGUGAUAACGUAAAGGAAAAUUAUGAUAUCACUUUACUAUUAGUGUUGUCAAAGUCUGGUGCCAGAAGACUCGGUAAGGCCAGAGACGCAAGCGUUAGUCUCUUGAUCAGGCGUAAGGGUUUGUAGGCUGCUUUAAGCAUGAAAAUAAUUAAAGCUAGAAUCAAAUAGAGGUCACCGUCAGAGAAUGCUUAGAGUAGGGUUGAUAUCUGUAAAUACUAAGUAGAAUACUAACUAGCGAAGGCUCUUUUCCAAAUAAUGAUUGACGCUGAGAAACGAAGGGGAGGAUAGACAAUAGGAUUAGAUACCCUGGCAUCCCUCUCUGUCAACGAUGAAUGGUAGUUGCUAGUUCUUAGAAGCUAGUGGCGAUGUUAACACGUUAACCAUUCCGCCUUGUGAGUACAAUUGCAAAGUUGAAAACAAAAAAAUUAGUCGGUUUCGGAGCAAACGAAGUGAAGCAUGUUAUUUAAUUCCGAUAAUCCGC
rnacentral:rRNA from 1 species